rnacentral:lncRNA from 1 species
AUGACAUCGUUUGAAAAAACCACCAAAAUGAAAGUUGUAGAUCUCGAAAAGCUGUAAAACUUUGUGGUUGAUAAUUUUUUCAUUUGAAAUCAUCUUGUCGUCGAAAACUACGUUUGAAUUUCUUAAAUUUGAAAUUCAAAUUUGAUAAAUGACUUUGGAUGGAGAAACUACCAAUAUAAAAGUUAUAAAUUUUGAAAAGUUAUGAAACUUUAUAGUUGACAACUUUUCUAUUUGAAUCCAUUUAGGGCCUCAAACAAUCAAUGUAUGUUUGGUUUAGGAUAAUAUGUGGGGGAACUAAACUCUAAUAUAGAUACAAUUGAGUGAUAGGUGGGGUGGUAGAGGAGGUUAAGUGUGAGGGUGAGAGAUCUUAGGUUCAAAAUUUUUUUAUAGAAAUCUUUUUAUAGAAAAUACAAAAUUGGUUUUUAAAAAUAGAAAAAAAAAGAUUUUAAUACCAGGGA